GAUGAACGCUGGCGGCGUGCCUAAUACAUGCAAGUCGAGCGAACGGACGAGAAGCUUGCUUCUCUGAUGUUAGCGGCGGACGGGUGAGUAACACGUGGAUAACCUACCUAUAAGACUGGGAUAACUUCGGGAAACCGGAGCUAAUACCGGAUAAUAUUUUGAACCGCAUGGUUCAAAAGUGAAAGGCGGUCUUGCUGUCACUUAUAGAUGGAUCCGCGCUGCAUUAGCUAGUUGGUAAGGUAACGGCUUACCAAGGCAACGAUGCAUAGCCGACCUGAGAGAGUGAUCGGCCACACUGGAACUGAGACACGGUCCAGACUCCUACGGGAGGCAGCAGUAGGGAAUCUUCCGCAAUGGGCGAAAGCCUGACGGAGCAACGCCGCGUGAGUGAUGAAGGUCUUCGGAUCGUAAAACUCUGUUAUUAGGGAAGAACAUAUGUGUAAGUAACUGUGCACAUCUUGACGGUACCUAAUCAGAAAGCCACGGCUAACUACGUG
rnacentral:rRNA from 1 species